rnacentral:rRNA from 1 species
AUUGAACGCUGGCGGCAGGCUUAACACAUGCAAGUCGAGCGAGCGGCGGACGGGUGAGUAAUGUCUGGGAAACUGCCUGAUGGAGGGGGAUAACUACUGGAAACGGUAGUUAAUACCGCAUACCAUCAGAUGCGCCCAGAUGGGAUUAGCUAGUAGGUGGGGUAAUGGCUCACCUAGGCGACGCUCACUAGCUGGUCUGCGAGGAUGAACAGCCACACUGGAACUGAGACACGGCCCAGACUCCUACGGGAGGCAGCAGUGGGGAAUAUUGCGCAAUGGGCGCAAGCCUGAUGCAGCCAGGCCGCGUGAGUGAAGAAGGCCUUCGGGUUGUAAAGCACUGUCAGCAGGGAGGCGUUACCCGAAGAAGAAGCACCGGCUAACUCCGUGCCAGCAGCCGCGGUAAUAC